CAGGGAGGGACCUUCCCAUUGGAGCUGUUUCCUCCUGAGUCAGCCCCAGGAUUCGGGCUCCCACUUCAGGCCACUCCUGCACCCCGGGACUUUCACUCUGAGAAAUCCUUUACCGUGGAAGCAGGACAAUGAGCUCCAAGCAAGGAUGGUGCAGGAAGAGCUCAGGACGGAUCUUGCCACCUCCAUCUUAGCCAGAGGGUUUUCCUGAGCUCAGGAGCCAAGCUUCUCAGACCCAUUCUUGCACACUGCAAAUUUCUAAUCCAUUGCUAAGGGCCACUAAUCCCAAACUGAAUUUAGAGAAACAAACAGGAAUAGAUGCUUUUUAAAAUACUUACCAACAUUCAUAUUUCUUCUCUGAUUUUGAAAAACAUAAUUAAUAAUAAAACACUUGGGAUCAUGCAGCAAAGAUACUUUAUGGGAAUAUUUAUUAUGCAAAUAACUAAAUUAAUUGCAUACAUUUGCAUCCUAUUAAGCAUUGAAAAGUAAAGCAGCUUUAAUAGAAUUAAAUCUACUUUUACCAAAAUGAUCUCAUCUGGCAGGAAGAGUUAGGGCAAGAUUGGUUUGGAUUGAGAUUUUCCAUCCUGCUUAGGAAUUCUAAAGUUCUAUAGAAUGAAAGUUUUUCUUGAUAAUAAUUUUUAAAUCAUAAAAAUGAAAGAAAUGUUAUUAGAAGUCCUACGAUUUCACCACCAACUUCAAUGCCCUAAUGUGGCUAUCCAUACUGCUUUUCCAAUAUCUUCCAAACGUCGAUUAUGGAUUUAUAUAAGUUUUUUCUACUAAAUUAUGUCUUACAGACAUUAUUGAAACAGUAUACUUGCUAAACAUCUGUGAAUUUUGUGUAAGAGUAAGGUCCCAAGAUUUUCUAAAGUUUGAAAGACAGUCAUGCUCUGGAGUCACCCUCUGGGCUCGAUGCGAUGGUGCCCAACGAAUACCUCCAGCCUGCUGGGGCUGGAGCUCCUGUCUCAGUCUAACCCUGCCCAGUAAGGAGCUGACUCAGCCCACACUGCUCAGGAGGCCCUGGGGCCCUCUGGGCUUGCAGGUAUUCCUGCCCUCAGCUGGGGCCAGCCCAGGCUUCGGUGAUGCGGUUUCCUCUUCAGAGGGCACUCUCGGGCCUCUCUCAGGACGUCUCCACCCCACACACGCUGCUGCCCACACCUCCUUUCAGGGAAGGGGCGCAGAUACCUCCCAUCUUCUUUCCUACACCUCAGCUUUGCUCCCUUCCCCUUUUACUCUGCACACCAUGGCAAUUUUCACCCCUUUUUGGACAAAAAUUUCCUGACAGGACUUAACCUCCCUGGCACUUAAAAUCUGAACUCUAACCUAUGUUAUUUGCAACAGAAAGAAAAGUGCUUUUAUCUGUCCUUUCAGGUAAAUUAUUUAUUUAUGUUUUUCUUUAUAGCGCCACCGUUCAGAUUUGCUGGAUUUGGAGACAAAAUCCAGGUUUGAAUUGUGAUUCUAUUUCUUACUGCUCCGUGGCCUGGGGCAGCCAGGUCAGCUCUCUGAGCCCUGUGGUCUGCAUGGCUGAGUGAGAAUGCCCACCUCCACUGAGAACCAGCCAGUGAGGUGCCAGCAACCCAUCUAACACAGGCAAAGAGGAUUUCUUAAUGAAAACAUUUUGUCUUGCACAAAACAAUACUCAAUUUAAGAAACAGCAAAUGCAGAAAAGGAAAAAGAGGAUUAGAAAACUAUAGAAAGAGCUCAGUGCAUGGCAAGAGUUUAAUGAAUAUUAGUUCUUCCCAUUUAGUUUUGCUUUCCAACCCACUAAGCAUGCUUCGAAAGACAGAGAAGAAAGAGGGGUUACAGCAAAAGCAGUGAUAAGAGUUUCUUGCAUCUUCACAGAUCAAGCAUCUUGGUCUGCAACCAGGUUUGUCUGAACAAAGGGUUAGGAGCCAAAGUUUGGGGUGGUGAAAGCCAUGGGGCCCAUGUUAGGCUGAGGACAAGUGUGCAUAUGGGUGGCAGGUGGCUUUGCCCAGAAUGAACUGGAGGGUGACGAUCCUGGAUCUGGCAGUGAAGCGGCAGUGUCUCUGCUCAGCCGGAGCGGGAGGUGUGGAGCCACUUCGUCACACUCUCAGCUGCACGGCUUUGGGCCACAGCCUGUAGACACCGGUGGAAUCUGCUCAGAGCUUUGAAGAGAGGAUUCCCAGAGCCAAGCUAUGGAUGGGACUAGGAAGCGAGUGACCAAGAACAGCUGCUCUUCACCUCCACGGGCAGGGUGGGGCGGGGUGGGAGGUGAGCUUUGCCGAAAGCCAGGCUGAAGGUGAUGCAAUGACCGCACCAUGGCCAGGAGCAGAACCACACGUUCUUUUUGGUUUCUGUGUAACUCUUGCCAAAUUUACAAUAAACCCUGCAAAUCUGCUGGAGCCUCUCUCUUUCUUUCCCAACCUUUGCAAGGACCUGUCUUGAAACUCCUUGCCUGAUUCCCCGCUUCUUGUUUUUCCCUGUUCCUCCUGCUCCCUUUUUCUUUUCAGCUUUCUCUCCAAUCAUGUUCCUGUCUAUUCUUUUUCUUUUUGCUACCCUGCAUGGUGAAUAUUUGCUAUUUUCCUGCUCAGCAGAACCUGCUCUCCCCACUCUCAGCCCGUGAGUGGGUGGGUGGGGCUGACCUUAGCACCUGGUGAUGUCACUUGAGAACCUAGUUGGCUGGGCCCAGACUUAUUAGGUGGUCAAGUCAAUAAAUGCCCAUUAUCAUGUUUAAGCUGCUUGUGGCUGGGUUUUCCUGCUUGGCACCAAGAGGCCUGAGUCAUUUGCAUCCUCGGGACCGGCCCCUGCCCCAUCUCCAGCUUACACCUCACCCCAUUCCCACCCCUAAACUACAGUCAGGCCGAGGUGCUGACAGGCUGCCCCUGUGCCACGCCACUGCUGCCCCUCAGUAGGUCCCUGCCCUCCUGGCACUUCUUGGUGUCAUGGUUUUCUGAGCCACAAUGCUGUUCUAAUUGUGAGGCAGUGGCAUCUGCCUGGCUUCCUCCCCAGCCCCAGCCCCUGCCAUGGGGACUCUGCCUGAGCUCUGAGGGCAGGUGGGGCACCCUGCUCCUGGCACAGGCACUAUUUCCACCUCUCUUCUUCAUUGCUAUCCGGCUUUCCCUUGCUUUUAUCCCCUCCCCUUCUCCUGCUUCCCACUGGUCAACUCUUCUCCCAGGGCCUCCCAGGGCCUAGGUCUGAGCAGUGGAGACCUCCAUGAGCAGGCAGAGGGCAACCAGGCAGGCUCCAUCCAGAAGAGAACAGGCCUGGACCAGAUGCAGAUUCUCCCAGGCUCUGCAGGGCCUGGCAGGGAAACUGCUGCUCCUGAGCUGCCUUCAGGGGAGUCCUCAGAAUAAGGGGAGCUAUCAACAGGCAGAGCAGUGUUUACGAGGACAGUUAUGAUCUUGUCACUGUCCUCAAGGAGCUUCAGGUCCAGGAAAGAAAAAUGAGCCACCUGUGAAGCAGAAUUGUGUAAUCACCUGGCGAGCAGGGAGGAGCCCCCCAGACACCACAAAGACAGGGAGCACUGGGAGGGAGAAGCGGGGCCAGGCUGGGGAGACCUGCAGAAUGGGGCGGGGCUUCUGGUUUCAAUGUUUACUUGCUGAGUGGCCUUGGACAAGUUAUUUCAUCUGCCUGAGCCUUACUUUCCUCAUCUGUAACAUGAAAAUGCCAAAUAUACCAGCACCUGGAUUGCCACGAGGAUGAGGUGAUUACAAUGCGUAUGGUCCUGAAACAGUGGUGUCCCUCUCCCCACCCUGCCAUUACCCAACCUCUGGUCUUCAAAUCGACCCUAUAAGGUAGGUAUUUUUACGUUCGCUUUGCAGAUGAGAAAACCAAAGCUCUGUGUAAUGACACAUCCCGGAAAUGUGAGGACAGGUUUCAAAUCCAGGUGUGUCUGGUCAAACCUGAGCGUUCCCUCCAGCCCUGCUGCCCCCUUUCUGCAUGUGAUCUUGGCUGGGGUCAGUGUCUGGCAAGCACACUGUCUGGCUGGCUCAGGCCUUUUGCCCCAGCUGUGGCCUUCACCCCCAACUAAUUAACUAACUGACAAGCUGUUUAUGAAGCUGCACUCCUGGUGACGUUGUUGGUGGCUGUGAUAAUCAUCCUGUUUUUCCACUUAUUCAGCCACCUUCUGAAGGGUCCUUUUAUGGGACCCUUUUAUGGAUUAUCAUUGUUCUGGGCAGUUUAUUAUGCAAAUGAAGCCUCAAAGUGCUCGAUGCUGUCUGCUGAAAUGUGCUUUAUAAGAUAAUACAUUUUUUUCCACAAACCAAAAUAAACUAGUGUAAAUGACAAUGGAACGAGAAAAGCUUUGCUCUUUAUAAAAAGGGCCGUGUGAGAUUCUUUGAAACUGAACGCCGGCGGAGUCUGACUCUGACCCUGGAUGAAGAGAUGCUGCUCUUUUAAGCGAGGGAUUUCUUUUCGGAAGAGGCUUUGUGAGCAUGGAACAGCGAAGCCCGGGAUGGGAACCAAGAAAGGUCACCGAAAUGUAGACACCCUGGCCUCAGUCUCUGGAGUUCAAAAAGGCUGCGGUCAAUUGUUGGAAUUUCUUUUCACAUGAAGAAAUCUACAUUCUGUGUAAAUAAAC
rnacentral:lncRNA from 1 species